AUGGGAAAGACUAGAGAUCUCUUCAAGAAAAUUAGAGAUACCAAGGGAACAUUUCGUGCAAAGAUGGGCUUGAUAAAGGACAGAAAUGGUCUGGACCUAACAGAAGCAGAAGAUAUUAAGAAGAGGUGGCAAGAAUACACGGAAGAACUGUACAAAAAAGAUCUUCAUGACCAAGAUAUUCAUGAUGAUGUGAUCACUCAUCUAGAGCCAGACAUUCUGGAAUGUGAAGCCAAGUGGGCCUUAGAAAGCAUCACUACGAACAAAGCUAGUGUAGGUGAUGGAAUUCCAGUUGAGCUGUUUCAAAUCCUGAAAGAUGAUGCUGUGAAAGUACUGCAGUCAACAUGCCAGCAAAUUUGGAAAACUCAGCAGUGGCCACAGGACUGGAAAAGGUCAGUUUUCAUUCCAAUCCCAAAGAAAGGCAAUGCCAAAGAAUGCUCAAACUACCACACAGUUGCACUCAUCUCACAUGCUAGUAAAGUAAUGCUCAAAAUUCUCCAAGCCAGGCUUCAGCAAUACGUGAACCGCGAACUCCCUGAUGUUCAAGCUGGUUUUAGAAAAGGCAGAGGGACCAGAGAUCAAAUUGCCAACAUCUGCUGGAUCAUGGAAAAAGAAAGAGAGUUCCAGAAAAAUAUCUACUUCUGCUUUAUUGACUAUGCCAAAGCCUUUGACUGUGUGGAUCACAAUAAACUGUGGAAAAUUCUGAAAGAGAUGGGAAUACCAGACCACCUAACCUGCCUCUUGAGAAAUCUGUAUGCAGGUCAGGAAGCAACAGUUAGAACUGGACAUGGAACAGCAGACUGGUUCCAAAUAGGAAAAGGAGUGCAUCAAGGCUGUAUAUUGUCAUCCUGCUUAUUUAACUUAUAUGCAGAGUACAUCAUGAGAAAUGCUGGGUUGGAAGAAACACAAGCUGGAAUCAAUAUUGCCGGGAGAAAUAUCAAUAACCUCAGAUAUGCAGAUGACACCACCCUUAUGGCAGAAAGUGAAGAGGAACUAAAAAGCCUCUUGAUGAAAGUGAAAGAGGAGAGUGAAAAAGUUGGCUUAAAGCUCAACUUUCAGAAAACGAAGAUCAUGGCAUCUGGUCCCAUCACUUCAUGGGAAAUAGAUGGGGAAACAGUGUCAGACUUUAUCUUUUUGGGCUCAAAAAUCACUGCAGAUGGUGACUGCAGCCAUGAAAUUAAAAGACACUUACUCCUUGGAAGAAAAGUUAUGACCAACCCAGAUAGCAUAUUCAAAAGCAGAGACAUUACUUUGCCGACUAAGGUCCGUCUAGUCAAGGCUAUGGUUUUUCCUAUGGUCAUGUAUGGAUGUGAGAGUUGGACUGUGAAGAAGGCUGAGCGUCGAAGAAUUGAUGCUUUUGAAGUGUGGUUUUGGAGAAGACUCUUGAGAGUCCCUUGGACUGCAAGGAGAUACAACCAAUCCAUUCUGAAGGAGAUCAGCCCUGGGAUUUCUUUGGAAGGAAUGAUGCUAAAGCUGAAACUCCAGUACUUUGGCCACCUCAUGUGA
rnacentral:lncRNA from 1 species